UACGAAGGGGGCUAGCGUUGCUCGGAAUCACUGGGCGUAACGGGUGCGUAGGCGGGUCUUUAAGUCCGGGGUGAAAUCCUGGAGCUCAACUCCAGAACUGCCUUUGAUACUGAAGAUCUUGAGUUCGGGAGAGGUGAGUGGAACUGCGAGUGUAGAGGUGAAAUUCGUAGAUAUUCGCAAGAACACCAGUGGCGAAGGCGGCUCACUGGCCCGAUACUGACGCUGAGGCACGAAAGCGUGGGGAGCAAACAGG
rnacentral:rRNA from 1 species